rnacentral:rRNA from 1 species
AGCGAACGUUUGCGGCGGGCCUAACACAUGCAAGUCGAACGGGCAGGGGCAACCCCUGUCAGUGGCGCACGGGUGCGUAACACGUGGGUAAUCAACCCUUUGGACUGGGACAACCCGGGGAAACUCGGGCUAAUACCGGAUGUGGCAUGUCGGUCUUCGGGCUGACAUGCGAAAGCCUCGCAAGGGGCACCAGAGGACGAGCCCGCGGCCCAUCAGCUAGUUGGUGAGGUAAUGGCUCACCAAGGCGAAGACGGGUAGCUGGUCUGAGAGGAUGAUCAG